rnacentral:rRNA from 1 species
CUAAGGUUUCCUGGGGAAGGUUCGUCCGCCCAGGGUAAGUCGGGACCUAAGGAGAGGCCGAAAAGCGUAUCCGAUGGACAGCAGGUAGAAAUUCCUGCACUACGUAAUACUUAAAAGACAUAAAUGACACAGGAGUGGAAGAUAAGCGAGGAAGAGGAAAGACUCGUAUCGAAAGAUAUAGUGAAAAUUAAAGUAACGAAUUAUCAAGAAGCUAAUGGCGAGAAAAGUUUAUGGAUAUUGUAUUAAGUACCCGUACCGCAAACCGACACAGGUAGAUGAGGAGAAGAUCCUAAGAUGAGCGAGAGAAGCAUUGUUAAGGAACUCGGCAAACUGACCCCGUAACUUCGGAAUAAGGGGUGCUGGAGUAAAAUCCAGUCGCAGAGAAUAGUCCCAAGCAACUGUUUAACAAAAACACAGGUUUCUGCUAAAUCGAAAGAUGAAGUAUAGGAGCUGACACCUGCCCAGUGCUGGAAGGUUAAGGGAAAGAGUUAGACGCAAGUCGAAGCUUAGAACUAAAGCCCCAGUGAACGGCGGCCGUAACUAUAACGGUCCUAAGGUAGCGAAAUUCCUUGUCAGGUAAGUUCUGACCCGCACGAAAGGUGUAAUGAUUUGGGAGCUGUCUCGACAAUGUACUCGGCGAAAUUGUAGUACUAGUGAAGAUGCUAGUUACCUGCGACAAGACAGAAAGACCCCAUGGAGCUUUACUGCAGCUUGAUACUGGGUUUCGGUAAUUUAUGUACAGGAUAGGUGGGAUGCUAAGAAGUAUGUGCGCCAGCGCAUAUGGAGCAGACGUUGGGAUACCACCCUUAAAUUACUGGAAUUCUAACUAUAAGUCCUAAACGGGCUUGAGGACAAUGUCAGGCGGGCAGUUUGACUGGGGCGGUCGCCUCCUAAAGAGUAACGGAGGCGCGCAAAGGUUUCCUCAGCGCGGACAGAAAUCGCGCGAAAGAGUGCAAAGGCAGAAGGAAGCUUAACUGAGAGACAGACAUGUCGACCAGAUACGAAAGUAGGUCUUAGUGAUCCGGUGGUUGUAAGUGGAAAUGCCAUCGCUCAACGGACAAAAGUUACCCUGGGGAUAACAGGCUUAUCUCCCCCAAGAGUUCACAUCGACGGGGAGGUUUGGCACCUCGAUGUCGGCUC